UUCCGGAUGUGUCCUUCUAUGUCCUUAUCGCCUGUGAUAUUGUGAUCUUCAUCUUCUCUCUUGAUAUUGCCGUAACCUCAUUUUCCUGUUGCUGCAACCCAAAGUCAACCCCUGUCAUGGUCAGUUAUGUGACCACAGAUUUGCCUGUCAACCAUAUCAUGCAAAUGGGCCAGUCAGACACUUCUGCAGUGGCUGGGCCUGUUAGUUCAGUUGUGAAUGUGCUGCCAGCAGCACAUAGCCCAGUCCCACCCGCACCUCUGCCAAAUUAUGGUCCCAUCCCCAAUGCAUCUCCACCAAUCUACAGUCCAGUACCAACUACACCUCCACCCAACUACGACAGAGUCUCAGAUGCAACUCCACCAAACUAUGGUCCAGUCCCAAAUGCACCUCCACCAGCAUAUGAGCAUGAAGAUUUACAGACCAGAA